CUGUGAGCUCGAUGAGUAGGGCGGGACACGUGGUAUCCUGUCUGAAUAUGGGGGGACCAUCCUCCAAGGCUAAAUACUCCUGACUGACCGAUAGUGAACCAGUACCGUGAGGGAAAGGCGAAAAGAACCCCGGCGAGGGGAGUGAAAAAGAACCUGAAACCGUGUACGUACAAGCAGUGGGAGCACGCUUAGGCGUGUGACUGCGUACCUUUUGUAUAAUGGGUCAGCGACUUAUAUUCUGUAGCAAGGUUAACCGAAUAGGGGAGCCGAAGGGAAACCGAGUCUUAACUGGGCGUUAAGUUGCAGGGUAUAGACCCGAAACCCGGUGAUCUAGCCAUGGGCAGGUUGAAGGUUGGGUAACACUAACUGGAGGACCGAACCGACUAAUGUUGAAAAAUUAGCGGAUGACUUGUGGCUGGGGGUGAAAGGCCAAUCAAACCGGGAGAUAGCUGGUUCUCCCCGAAAGCUAUUUAGGUAGCGCCUCGUGAAUUCAUCUCCGGGGGUAGAGCACUGUUUCGGCAAGGGGGUCAUCCCGACUUACCAACCCGAUGCAAACUGCGAAUACCGGAGAAUGUUAUCACGGGAGACACACGGCGGGUGCUAACGUCCGUCGUGAAGAGGGAAACAACCCAGACCGCCAGCUAAGGUCCCAAAGUCAUGGUUAAGUGGGAAACGAUGUGGGAAGGCCCAGACAGCCAGGAUGUUGGCUUAGAAGCAGCCAUCAUUUAAAGAAAGCGUAAUAGCUCACUGGUCGAGUCGGCCUGCGCGGAAGAUGUAACGGGGCUAAACCAUGCACCGAAGCUGCGGCAGCGACGCUGAUGCGUUGUUGGGUAGGGGAGCGUUCUGUAAGCCUGUGAAGGUGUACUGUGAGGUAUGCUGGAGGUAUCAGAAGUGCGAAUGCUGACAUAAGUAACGAUAAAGCGGGUGAAAAGCCCGCUCGCCGGAAGACCAAGGGUUCCUGUCCAACGUUAAUCGGGGCAGGGUGAGUCGACCCCUAAGGCGAGGCCGAAAGGCGUAGUCGAUGGGAAACAGGUUAAUAUUCCUGUACUUGGUGUUACUGCGAAGGGGGGACGGAGAAGGCUAUGUUGGCCGGGCGACGGUUGUCCCGGUUUAAGCGUGUAGGCUGGUUUUCCAGGCAAAUCCGGAAAAUCAAGGCUGAGGCGUGAUGACGAGGCACUACGGUGCUGAAGCAACAAAUGCCCUGCUUCCAGGAAAAGCCUCUAAGCAUCAGGUAACAUCAAAUCGUACCCCAAACCGACACAGGUGGUCAGGUAGAGAAUACCAAGGCGCUUGAGAGAACUCGGGUGAAGGAACUAGGCAAAAUGGUGCCGUAACUUCGGGAGAAGGCACGCUGAUAUGUAGGUGAAGUCCCUCGCGGAUGGAGCUGAAAUCAGUCGAAGAUACCAGCUGGCUGCAACUGUUUAUUAAAAACACAGCACUGUGCAAACACGAAAGUGGACGUAUACGGUGUGACGCCUGCCCGGUGCCGGAAGGUUAAUUGAUGGGGUCAGCGCAAGCGAAGCUCUUGAUCGAAGCCCCGGUAAACGGCGGCCGUAACUAUAACGGUCCUAAGGUAGCGAAAUUCCUUGUCGGGUAAGUUCCGACCUGCACGAAUGGCGUAAUGAUGGCCAGGCUGUCUCCACCCGAGACUCAGUGAAAUUGAACUCGCUGUGAAGAUGCAGUGUACCCGCGGCAAGACGGAAAGACCCCGUGAACCUUUACUAUAGCUUGACACUGAACAUUGAGCCUUGAUGUGUAGGAUAGGUGGGAGGCUUUGAAGUGUGGACGCCAGUCUGCAUGGAGCCGACCUUGAAAUACCACCCUUUAAUGUUUGAUGUUCUAACGUUGACCCGUGAUCCGGGUUGCGGACAGUGUCUGGUGGGUAGUUUGACUGGGGCGGUCUCCUCCUAAAGAGUAACGGAGGAGCACGAAGGUUGGCUAAUCCUGGUCGGACAUCAGGAGGUUAGUGCAAUGGCAUAAGCCAGCUUGACUGCGAGCGUGACGGCGCGAGCAGGUGCGAAAGCAGGUCAUAGUGAUCCGGUGGUUCUGAAUGGAAGGGCCAUCGCUCAACGGAUAAAAGGUACUCCGGGGAUAACAGGCUGAUACCGCCCAAGAGUUCAUAUCGACGGCGGUGUUUGGCACCUCGAUGUCGGCUCAUCACAUCCUGGGGCUGAAGUAGGUCCCAAGGGUAUGGCUGUUCGCCAUUUAAAGUGGUACGCGAGCUGGGUUUAGAACGUCGUGAGACAGUUCGGUCCCUAUCUGCCGUGGGCGCUGGAGAACUGAGGGGGGCUGCUCCUAGUACGAGAGGACCGGAGUGGACGCAUCACUGGUGUUCGGGUUGUCAUGCCAAUGGCACUGCCCGGUAGCUAAAUGCGGAAGAGAUAAGUGCUGAAAGCAUCUAAGCACGAAACUUGCCCCGAGAUGAGUUCUCCCUGACUCCUUGAGAGUCCUGAAGGAACGUUGAAGACGACGACGUUGAUAGGCCGGGUGUGUAAGCGCAGCGAUGCGUUGAGCUAACCGGUACUAAUGAACCGUGAGGCUUAACCUUACAACGCCGAAG
rnacentral:rRNA from 1 species